rnacentral:lncRNA from 1 species
UUUUCUGAGACAAGGUCUCACUCUGUUACCCAGGCUGGAGUGCACUGGGGCGAUCUCGGCUUACUGCAACCUCGGCUCACUGCAACCUCUGCCUCCCGGGCUCAAGUGAUUCUCUUGCUUCAGCCUUCUAAGUAGCUGGAAUUAACAGGCAUGUGCCACCACGCCUGGCUAAUUUUUUGUAUUUUUAGUAGAGACAGAGUUUCACGAUGUUGGCCAGGCUGGUCUUGAGCUCCUGGCCUCAAGUGAUCUGGCCACCUUUGCCUCCCAAAGUGCUGGAAUUAUGGGCGUGAGACACUGCGCCUGGCCUUUCCCACCUUCCACCCUCAAGUGGGCCCCAGUGUCUAUUGCUCCCCUCUAUGUGUCCAUCUGUACUCAAUGUUUAGCUCCCACUUAUGUGGUCAGUGUUUAGCUCCCACUUUAGAACAUGCGGUAUUUGGUUGUCUGUUCCUGAAUCAAUUUGUUUAGGAUAAUGUCAGCCAGGGUUUCUACCCAGGAAAGCCUACUGCCUGAUUCAGUCCUUAGCUAAAUUGUAAAGAUCCCUUUGAUUCCUCCCUCCAGCCCUCCUUUCUCACUACAGCACCCUCUCUCCCUAUCUCCACUAACAAGAUCUUUCCUUCCCUCUCCUUCUUCUCUUCAUAACUUCGCUUGCAACUUCCGGUUUCCAGGCUACAGAAUGCCAGCUUUCACAAGUGUGAGGACUGCUAUGAAAGAGAGGCACAUGCAUAGCAAGGGCAUUUUUAGACCUCCAAAGCCUCAGGAACACAGGAAGUAAUUCUCUAAUAAAUAGAUAUCUGGAAUUGUAACUGGUUGAAGGAAAUACUUGGUGCCAAAUUCCUAUUUAGUGCUCCUCAAAACACACGAUGAUGGAAAGUGGCCUCCUCCUUUUUCUAAAUUAAUUGGGCUUUGAUAUGGGUCUGGAAGAAACUCAUGAGCUGCAGUCUUUCAUUCAGGAACUUAAUAACUUUUGGCCAUAGUUGGAAUGACUUGUCAUGUUUGGGUCCAGCCAAUAGGGAACACAGGUCACAUCUUUCCCUGCAUAAGCCCACAGCCACCCAUGCUGUGGGUAGCUGUCCCUUUCCUUUCCCUUCAUAAAGUGGAUAGGAGGCGAAUAAGGCUGAAUAGUAAUUAUAAACAUCUGGUGGUUACUUUAUGAUUAGGUCAUGUUAAAGAUUUUGGGAAGCCUUCCAUCAGUCUCAGUUAAUAUCUUUCCAAUUAUGUUUACAUUGACAUUUACCCUGGGCCCUGUAACUUCUCAUUAUGCCUUCUGGAGUUAUCCCAUACGCUCUGGGCGUGGUGAGAAGUUCACCAGGGAGGCAAGGAUUACUGCUGCUACUGCUUGAUCAAGGGGAAAGGCAGCCAGCAGUUCCAAGGAGCCAGGAAGGGACUGCCCAGACAUGAAGAAAGAUAAUGUGGUUACUAUUUUGUCAUAUACUUUGGCUUUAUUUUACCUGAAAGUUCAAUGACCAAGAUACUAGAAAAAGUCUUCAUAGCACUGAGGGGCUGUUUCUGAAUUAGAGACACAACUGAUAGUUGGAAGCCUGUUGUUUGUGAGAAAGAAUUGUUUGACUAGCAACACACCUAGCCUCUCUGCAUUAAUCUCCCAAAUGAAAUUCAGAACAGGUAUUGGAAGCCUAGACAUGAAAUGAAAGAAAAAUGUAUGAACUAAGUACACUGAUUGCAUUCAUUCAGCAGGUGUUUUCUUGUUGUCUGAGCAACUUCUAUAUAUUUAGCUCACUGCAUAACAAGGUGCAGAUACAGUGGUAUAUAAGACAUUGUCAGCUGGGCACGGUGGCUCAGGCCUGUAAUCCCAGCACUUUGGGAGGCCGAGGUGGGCAGAUCACUUGAGGUCAGGAGUUCAAGACCAGCCUGACCGACACGGUAAAACCCCAUCUCUACUAAAAAAAAAAAAUACAUAAACAAAGCCGGGCGUGGUGGCAUAUGCCAGUAAUCCCACCUACUUGGGAGGCUGAGGCAGGAGAAUCAGUUAAACCCGGGAGGCAGAGGUUUCAGUGAGCCGAGAUGGUGCCACUGCACUCCAGCCUGGGCAACAGAGUGAGACUCCGUCUCAAAAAAAAAAAAAAAAGACAUUGUCUCCUUUCUCUAAAGCCAUAUGGUUUAGUUGGGUGGUAAGGUAGAUGAUAAAAUAUUUACAUAAAAUUAUAAGUAUAGAAAAUGAAGCAUAUACUCUAAGUAAUACACAAAAAUGUCUCCUGAUAAGCCUUUUAUUUUGUGUUUGGUGUAAUUUUUUAAAGUGACAUGUUCAUGUUUUUGAAUAAAUUUUACUUACGUCUUUGUGUUUUUAUGUACUUUCCAGUGGAAAAUUAUUAAAAAUGUUUUCCCAGCAAAUCAACACAAUUUAAUAGUAAAUAGCAAUAUUAGCAGCAUUCCAUCUAGUGCAAAAUAGGUCUUUCAAGCACAGUGGCCAAUGACCGUGGAGAAGUCUCCCAGGAAGGUUCUGGAACAGGUUCUUACAGGAAGGGCAGCCGAGAACAUCAAUGAUUAAAAGGGGGCUGAGAAGAGGAAACUGAUGGACAAAGAGGUGAGAAGUGGGAGAAAGAACGAAAAUCUGGAGGUUGGAGGAUAAACAAACCCACAUCCUUGUGGAUGAAGAAGGAUACCAAAAACUCAUUUUCCUGGAAGGAGCAAUUUUUGAAAUCAGCUACACUGAGGCUGCAGAUUGAGUGAAGGUCUUUUCCAUGUGAAUUUGUCCUGCAUCUGGGAUAAAGGUAUAAUGAUUACCUAAAGCAUGUUCUGUUCAUGGAAGAUCACUGGAACACAAAAGACCAAGCUCACAGCAUAUUCAAGACAUCUGCUCGUAUUCCACUGGCCAAAGAAAGUGAUGUGGCCCAGCCUAAAGUCAGGAACAGGAGCAGGAGGCUUUGACAACUGAGAUCUUCGAUCAUGAGUGUUGUGAAUGCAGACGGGGUUUUGUACUCCAGGCACUGUGCUAGGCACCAGGACUAUAAUACAACUUGUGAUCUGUAGAGGAGUCAGACAAUUAUCCAGGCAUCCCAAAGAAAUGUCAAUUGCAAGCCUGGAUCCCUUUUUCCCUGGAGGCUGUUCUGAAGAUGGCACCCUACCUGCUCACCUUUUAGUGUACCUGGGCACCCAUGCCUCCAUAUGGUGACCCUCAAAUCAUACUGUAUGAAGAGCAGCUGUUUUGUCAACUAUUUUUUAAUGAGAUUUUUUUUGCUUUGGUUUAAAAAAUAGCAUAUAUUUGCGUUAGAAAAUUAGAAAUACAGAAGAAACAGAAAUAUAAAAGAAUUACCUAUAACAUGCAAAAAUGACUAGUACAAAUGUUUUUGUUUUUUUACAGUAUGUGAACAUAUUGUAUGUUUAUAUUAAUAUCCAUAGUAUUUAUUUUUGCCUACAUGUUUUACUUAACAUAUGUAGUAAGCAUUUCCCAUGUUAGUCAAAUUAUUUGUGGACAUUAUUUUUAAUGACUAUUAAUGUUAUUACUCUACAGCUUGCCGAAUAAGUCUCCUAUUAUAUGUCAUUUUGGGUCCUAGCAACAUUUUUGUGUUUAAAUCCUUGUAGCAGUUUUGACUGAUUUCCUUAAGAUAGAGUCCAAGAAGAGAAAUAAUUUGCUUGUUUGUUUAUCAUUUGGUACUUUCUUUUAUGGUAAUGUCCUUGGGGCUGAUAAUUCAGAACCAUGAAUAGAUAUGAUUCUUGUCUUUGAGGAGAUUGUAGCCUUGUGCUAGGUUAAAGAAUAGGCACGUUUUAAAGUUCUCGAUACACAUUUUCAAAGUGCUUUUCAAAAAUUUGUAUCAAUUCAUCCUUCUACUAUAAGGGAAAAUCUGUUCUGGGUUGUUUUUCUGGUAUAUCUUCCUAUUAAGAACCUGUUCUCCCUCCUGCUUUGUGACUCACAUGGAGUUGCCACUGCAUGCUAUCAUCUCCAUCCCUUAGAGCAACCUAUUAGAGAACUUACUCUCUGGAGUCCCAAAAGAGAAACAACAGCAACAACUCAGCAAUUCAUCUGGGGUCAGCGUGUUACCCAGUCUGGGCCAUUGGAGAUUUUUUUAAAGGGAAGUUUCUCCUAUUUUCUUCAAAAUUCUGAGCUGUGAAGAGGACCACUAGAAAGUUCAAUCUAUUUAUGAUUUUUUAAAAAACUGUUAUUAUAUAUAUUUAAGUGUAUGUCAUGUUUCCACACAUAUAUACAUAGUGAAAUGAUCACUGUAAUCAAGCUAAUUAGAAUAUCCCCCAUCUCGCAUAGUCACCUUUGUGUGUGAAAAGGGUUCAGUGCUUCCCUCUCCACUCUUCAUCUCCCCUUUAAAAAAGCAGAGAUGAAUGGAGAGGGAAAGGUUGAACAAUGGUUAUGUGGUGGGACUGCUGGGAUUCACCUGAGAGUUAAAACCAGCUAGUUCUACCCGUAUGUUUUUCACUUAGAUAAGCCAACAAAUUAAUUUCUUUUCCUCUAUUCUUCUUGUCUUCUUUCCUGCCUCUUUACCUGUCUCCCUUCCUUCCUCUCUUCCCACUCUCUUUCUUUCCUUAUUUAAAUUGGUUUGAAUUGAGUUUCUGACACUAAUGGAGAGUCCUUAUUGUGCCUUCACGUUAUUUUUAUCAAACCAGAAAAUGUUAAUGACAUAAAACAAUUACUGUUUGGACAAGGAAAAUUGUAUUUCUUUCCUUGAAAUUUCUACACACAUACACAUUUGUGCUUGUUAGUGAGGCUAAGCAUUUUCCCCCUUAUUUGUGAAUUAUAUAUUCAAUGUUUUGAUCCAUUUAUCAAAUAAAUUCCUUAGUUUAAAAAAUAUUUGCAGGUGCGGUUAUUAUGGAAAGCAGCAUGAAGUUUCCUCUAAAUAUUAAAAAUAGAAUCACCACAUGACUCAGCAAUCCCUCCUCUCUAUAUAUUUUUAAAGGAAAUGAAAUCAGCACUUCAUGGAACUAUCUCCACUCCCGGCUGGGCGCAGUGGCUCACGCCUGUAAUCCCAGCACUUUGGAAGGCCAAGG